CCAUGGGGGAGAAGAUCAGUUUUACCCAGUGAAGUAGGUCUUGAAGACAAAAAAGCAGAAGGGGAAAUUAAUGGAGUUUGUUGAAUGGGAGCCAUGUUCCAUGUGUGGGAAAACAUGGUCUCCACAGUGGGUGGAAAAAAGGAACACCA